CUUGGCCAGCCAUGGUGACAACGGGUAACGGAGGGUUAGGGCUCGACCCCGGAGAAGGAGCCUGAGAAACGGCUACUACAUCCAAGGAAGGCAGCAGGCGCGCAAAUUACCCAAUCCCGAUACGGGGAGGUAGUGACAAUAAAUACUGAUACAGGGCUCUUUUGGGUCUUGUAAUUGGAAUGAGUACAAUUUAAAUCCCUUAACGAGGAACAAUUGGAGGGCAAGUCUGGUGCCAGCAGCCGCGGUAAUUCCAGCUCCAAUAGCGUAUAUUAAAGUUGUUGCAGUUAAAAAGCUCGUAGUUGAACCUUGGGCCUGGCUGGCCGGUCCGCCUCACCGCGUGCACUGGUCCGGCCGGGCCUUUCCCUCUGGGGAGCCGCAUGCCCUUCACUGGGUGUGUCGGGGAACCAGGACUUUUACUGUGAAAAAAUUAGAGUGUUCAAAGCAGGCCUAUGCUCGAAUACAUUAGCAUGGAAUAAUAGAAUAGGACGUGCGGUUCUAUUUUGUUGGUUUCUAGGACCGCCGUAAUGAUUAAUAGGGACAGUCGGGGGCAUCAGUAUUCAAUUGUCAGAGGUGAAAUUCUUGGAUUUAUUGAAGACUAACUACUGCGAAAGCAUUUGCCAAGGAUGUUUUCAUUAAUCAGGAACGAAAGUUAGGGGAUCGAAGACGAUCAGAUACCGUCGUAGUCUUAACCAUAAACUAUGCCGACUAGGGAUCGGGCGGUGUUAUUUUUUGACCCGCUCGGCACCUUACACGAAAGUAAAGUUUUUGGGU
rnacentral:rRNA from 1 species